CGUUCGUAGUUGAAUUUGUGCUUCAUACGGGUAGUACAAACUAUAAUUGUGGACUGUACAUUACCUUAUGUAUGCAAGCGUAUUACCGGUGGAGUUCUUAUAUAUACUGGUGCUUUGUAUCUUUAUGUAUUCCUCCUAUUUAAACCUACUUCAGUGCUCUUUAUCGAGUGUUGUUGUGGGCCGGUACAAUUACUUUGAACAAAUUAGAGUGCUUAAAGCAGGCUCCAAAUGCCUGAAUAUUUUGUGCAUGGAAUAAUGAAAUAAGACCUCUGAUCUACUUUCAUUGGUUUUUAGAUCAAGAGGUAAUGAUUAAUAGAAGCAGUUUGGGGGCAUUAGUAUUACGACGCGAGAGGU
rnacentral:rRNA from 1 species